rnacentral:piRNA from 1 species
UGACGCCACCCACCACUAAGGUACCUUAU